rnacentral:rRNA from 1 species
UACGAAGGGUGCAAGCGUUAAUCGGAAUUACUGGGCGUAAAGGGCGCGCAGGCUGUGCUGCAAGUCAGCUGUGAAAUAUCUGGGCUUAACCUGGAUAUGCGGUUGAGACUGCAGUGCUGGAGUGCUGUAGAGGCAAGUGGAAUUCCCAGUGUAGCGGUGAAAUGCGUAGAUAUUGGGAAGAACACCGGUGGCGAAGGCGACUUGCUGGGCAGCAACUGACGCUGAGGCGCGAAAGCCAGGGGAGCAAACGGGAUUAGAUACCCGGGUAGUCC